GAUGAACGCUGGCGGCGUGCCUAAUACAUGCAAGUCGAGCGAACAGACGAGGAGCUUGCUCCUCUGACGUUAGCGGCGGACGGGUGAGUAACACGUGGAUAACCUACCUAUAAGACUGGGAUAACUUCGGGAAACCGGAGCUAAUACCGGAUAAUAUAUUGAACCGCAUGGUUCAAUAGUGAAAGACGGUUUUGCUGUCACUUAUAAAUGGAUCCGCGCCGCAUUAGCUAGUUGGUAAGGUAACGGCUUACCAAGGCAACGAUGCGUAGCCGACCUGAGAGAGUGAUCGGCCACACUGGAACUGAGACACGGUCCAGACUCCUACGGGAGGCAGCGGUAGGGAAUCUUCCGCAGUGGGCGAAAGCCUGACGGAGCAACGCCGCGUGAGUGAUGAAGGUCUUCGGAUCGUAAAACUCUGUUAUUAGGGAAGAACAAAUGUGUAAGUAACGAUGCACGUCUUGACGGUACCUAAGCAGAAAGCCACGGCUAACUACGU
rnacentral:rRNA from 1 species